rnacentral:rRNA from 1 species
GACGAGGGGUCCAAGCGUUGUUCGGAAUCAUUGGGCGUAAAGCGGGUGUAGGUGGCUCUAUAAGUCAGAAGUGAAAGCCCCGGGCUUAACCCGGGAAGUGCUUUUGAUACUGCAGAGCUUGAAUGUGGGAGAGGGUAGUGGAAUUCCAGGUGUAGUGGUGAAAUACGUAGAUAUCUGGAGGAACACCGGUGGCGAAGGCGGCUACCUGGCCCAACAUUGACACUGAGACCCGAAAGCGGGGGGAUCAAACAGG